rnacentral:rRNA from 1 species
GAUGAACGCUGGCGGCGUGCCUAAUACAUGCAAGUCGAGCGAACAGACGAGGAGCUUGCUCCUCUGACGUUAGCGGCGGACGGGUGAGUAACACGUGGAUAACCUACCUAUAAGACUGGGAUAACUUCGGGAAACCGGAGCUAAUACCGGAUAAUAUAUUGAACCGCAUGGUUCAAUAGUGAAAGACGGUUUUGCUGUCACUUAUAGAUGGAUCCGCGCCGCAUUAGCUAGUUGGUAAGGUAACGGCUUACAAAGGCAACGAUGCGUAGCCGACCUGAGAGGGUGAUCGGCCACACUGGAACUGAGACACGGUCCAGACUCCUACGGGAGGCAGCAGUAGGGAAUCUUACGCAAAGGGGGAAAGCCUGACGGAGCAACGCCGCGUGAGUGAUGAAGGUCUUCGGAUCGUAAAACUCUGUUAUUAGGGAAGAACAAAUGUGUAAGUAACUAUGCACGUCUUGACGGUACCUAAUCAGAAAGCCACGGCUAACUACGUG